UUUAGUUUGACGCCCCGAAACUACGUGAGCUACUUCAAGACAGCCUAUUAAUAGGGCAUACCCGUCUCUGUGGCAAAAGGGUGGGGAGAGCUUUGAGUAGAGGUGAUAAACCUACCGAACCUAGUUAUAGCUGGUUGUCCAAGAAAUGAAUAGAAGUUCAGCCUCUUGGCUUCUUUUUUCACACUAGCCUUAACCCCUAUUGAUGCCAAAAGAAACCGAGAGAGUUAGUCAAAGGGGGUACAGCCCCUUUGAAUCAAGACACAACUUUACUAGGAGGGUAAAGAUCAUAAUAACUAAAGCCAGGUGUUCCGGUGGGCCUAAAAGCAGCCAUCCCUUUAGAAAGCGUUAAAGCUCGGACAUACAACCUCCCCUUCUUAUUCUGAUCCCCUUAUCUUACCCCCCUAAACGUACUGGACCAUCCCAUGCCCCCAUGGGAGUGACUAUGCUAAUAUGAGUAAUAAGAGAGCCAAAGACUCUCUCCCCGCACACGUGUACAUCGGAACGGACGCCCCGCCGACCAUUAACGGCCCCAAACAAAGAGGGCAUUGGCUAGCAAACAAACAACAAGAAGAGCCUCCAACAAGAACCCGUUAACCCCACACAGGUGUGCCCUCAGGGAAAGACUUAAAGAGAGAAAAGGAACUCGGCAAACAUAAGCCUCGCCUGUUUACCAAAAACAUCGCCUCUUGUAACACUAGAAAUAAGAGGUCCCGCCUGCCCUGUGACUAUUUGUUUAACGGCCGCGGUAUUUUGACCGUGCGAAGGUAGCGCAAUCACUUGUCUUUUAAAUGAAGACCCGUAUGAAUGGCAUAACGAGGGCUUAGCUGUCUCCUCUCUCCAGUCAAUGAACUUGAUCUCCCCGUGCAGAAGCGGGGAUACAACCAUAAGACGAGAAGACCCUAUGGAGCUUUAGACACGAAAGCAGCCCACGUUAAGCACCCCGAACAAAGGGCUAAACCAAGUGGGCCCUGCCCUAAUGUCUUUGGUUGGGGCGACCGCGGGGAAUUAAAGAACCCCCACGUGGAGUGGGAACACUUUUCCUACAGCCAAGAGCUACAGCUCUAGAAAACAGAACUUCUGACCAACAAGAUCCGGCAGUGCCGAUCAACGGACCGAGUUACCCUAGGGAUAACAGCGCAAUCCUCUUUUAGAGCCCAUAUCGACAAGGGGGUUUACGACCUCGAUGUUGGAUCAGGACAUCCUAAUGGUGCAGCCGC
rnacentral:rRNA from 1 species